AUUGAACGCUGGCGGCAUGCUUUACACAUGCAAGUCGAACGGUAACAGGCCUUCGGGCACUGACGAGUGGCGAACGGGUGAGUAAUGCAUCGGAACGUGCCCAGUCGUGGGGGAUAACGCAGCGACAGCUGUGCUAAUACCGCAUACGAUCUGCGGAUGAAAGCGGGGGACCUUCGGGCCUCGCGCGAUUGGAUCGGCAGAUGUCAGAUUAGGUAGUUGGUGGGGUAAAGGCUCACCAAGCCAACGAUCUGUAGCUGGUCGGAGAGGACGACCAGCCACACUGGGACUGAGACACGGCCCAGACUCCUACGGGAGGCAGCAGUGGGGAAUUUUGGACAAUGGGCGCAAGCCUGAUCCAGCAAUGCCGCGUGCAGGAAGAAGGCCUUCGGGUUGUAAACUGCUUUUGUACGGAGCGAAAAGGCUCCCUCUAAUACAGGGGGCUCAUGACGGUACCGUAAGAAUAAGCACCGGCUAACUACGUGCCAGCCGCCGCCGUAACAC
rnacentral:rRNA from 1 species